AUUGAACGCUGGCGGCAGGCCUAACACAUGCAAGUCGAGCGAGCGGCGGACGGGUGAGUACUGUCUGGGAACCUGCCUGAUGGCGGGGGAUAACUACUGGAAACGGUAGCUAAUACCGCGUACCAUCCGAUGUGCCCAGAGGGGAUUAGCUAGUAGGUGGGGUAACGGCUCACCUAGGCGACGAUCCCUAGCUGGUCUGAGAGGAUGACCAGCCACACUGGGACUGAGACACGGUCCAGACUCCUACGGGAGGCAGCAGUGGGGAAUAUUGCACAAUGGGCGAAAGCCUGAUGCAGCCAUGCCGCGUGUGUGAAGAAGGCCUUCGGGUUGUAAAGCACUUUAAGCGGGGAGGCGGUACCCGCAGAAGAAGCACCGGCUAACUCCGUGCCAGCAGCCGCGGUAAUAC
rnacentral:rRNA from 1 species